rnacentral:rRNA from 1 species
CUGCUGCCUUCCGUAGGAGUUUGGGCCGUGUCUCAGUCCCAAUGUGGCCGUUCACCCUCUCAGGCCGGCUACUGAUCGUCGCCUUGGUGGGCCUUUACCCCGCCAACAAGCUAAUCAGACGCGGAUCCAUCGUAUACCACCGGAGUUUUUCACACUGCUUCAUGCGAAGCUGUGCGCUUAUGCGGUAUUAGCACCUAUUUCUAAGUGUUAUCCCCCAGUAUACGGCAGGUUCUCCACGCGUUACUCACCCGUCCG